rnacentral:rRNA from 1 species
CCUACGGGAGGCAGCAGUAAGGAAUAUUGGUCAAUGGACGAAAGUCUGAACCAGCCAUGCCGCGUGAAGGAUGAAGGCCCUCUGGGUUGUAAACUUCUUUUAUCUGGGACGAAAAAGCUCAUUCUUGAGCACUUGACGGUACCAGAGGAAUAAGCACCGGCUAACUCCGUGCCAGCAGCCGCGGUAAUACGGAGGGUGCAAGCGUUAUCCGGAUUCACUGGGUUUAAAGGGUGCGUAGGUGGGUCUGUAAGUCAGUGGUGAAAUCUCCGGGCUUAACUCGGAAACUGCCAUUGAUACUAUAGGUCUUGAAUCAUCUGGAGGUAAGCGGAAUAUGUCAUGUAGCGGUGAAAUGCUUAGAUAUGACAUAGAACACCAAUUGCGAAGGCAGCUUACUACGGGUGUAUUGACACUGAGGCACGAAAGCGUGGGGAUCAAACAGGAUUAGAUACCCUGGUAGUCCACGCCCUAAACGAUGGAUACUCGACAUCAGCGAUACACUGUUGGUGUCUGAGCGAAAGCAUUAAGUAUCCCACCUGGAAGUACGACCGCAAGGUUGAAACGUCAAAUGAAAUUGACGG